rnacentral:lncRNA from 1 species
GGUGAAGGGACACAGCGCUUUGCUAGGCUGGGAUGCGGCGAGGCGCCGAAGGACGCAGCAGUUUGCCAGGUGGCGAGGGGGGGAGGGAUGCAGCGCUUGGCUGGGUGGCAAGGCGGCAAAGGCAUGUGGUUCUUUGUUAGGUGGCCAAGGGUCACAGCAGUGUGCUAGUCGACGAGAGGGUGAAGGCACACAGUGCUUUGCUAGGCGGCGAAGGGACGCAGCGCUUUGCCAGGCGGCAAAGGGACGCAGCGGUUUGCUGGGCGGCGAGGGGGAAAAGGAACGCAGCGGUGUGCUAGGCGGCGAGGCGGUCAGGCAGCGGAGGGACGAGGUGCUUUGCUAGGCAGCAAAGGGACUCGGCUCUUUGCUAGGCGGGGAGUCUGCGAAGGGCCUUGGCACUUUGCUAGGUCACAAAGGGACACGGCGCUUUGCUAGGCGGCGAAGGGAUGCAGUACUUUCCUAGGCAGCAAGGCGACAAAGGGACACGGCGCUUUCGUAGGCAGCGGGGAGGCGAAGGCACGCAGAGAUUUGGUAGGCGGCAAAGGGACGAGGCGCUUUGGUAGGCGUCGAGGAGGCAAAGGGACACGGCGCUUUGCUAGGCAGCAAAGAGACUCGGCGCCUUGCUAGGUGGUGAGGCGACGAAGGGAAACGGCGCUUUGCCAGGAGGUGGAGGGACGUAGUGCUUUGCCAGGCAGCGAAGGGAUGCGGCGCUUUGCUAGGCGGCGAGGCGACUAAGGGACUCAGCGCUUUGCUAGGCAGCGAGGCGGCGAAGGCAUGCGCUGCUUUGCUAGACGGYGAAGGGUCACAGCGGUGUUCUAGUCAGCGAGGUGGUGAAGGGACGCAGCGCUUUGCUAGGCUGGGAUGCGGCGAGGCACCGAGGCGCCAAAGGAUGCAGCAGUUUGCCAGGUGGCGAGGGGGGGAGGGACGCAGCGCUUGGCUAGGCGGCGAAGGCAAGCGCUGCUUUGCUAGGCGCCGAAGGAACACGGCGCUUUCCAAGGCGGCGAAGGGACACGGCGCUUUGCUAGGCGGCGAGGCGGCAAAGGCACGCGGCUCUUUGUUAGGCGGCGAAGGGGCACAGCAGUGUGCUAGUCGACGAGAGGGUGAAGGCAUGCAGUGCUUUGCUAGGCGGUGAGGCGGUGAAGGGACUUGGUGCUUUGCUAGGUGGUGAAGGGACGCAUCGCUUGGCAGCAACAGGAGGUGAAGCGAAGAGACACAGCGGUUCCUUAGUUUGCGAGGCAGCAAAGAGACGCAGUCGUAAGUUAGUGUGCAAGGCAGCGAACAGAUAGAACGGUUUGCUUGUUUGUGAGGUAGGGAAGAGACGCGUGGUUUGUUUUUUUGUGAGUCGGCGAAUAGACGCAGUGAUGUGCUUUUGUGCGAGGCAGUGAACAGACCCAGCGGUUUGCUUCUUUGCGAGGGAGUGAACAGAUGCAGUGGUUAGUUUGUGAGGCAUCCAAGAGAUGCAGCGGUGUGCUUGUUUGCGAGGCAUUGAAGAAAAUCAGCAGGUAGUUAGUUUGCCAUGUGACGAAGAGACACAACGGUUUGCUUUUUCAUGAUGCAGUGAACAGGUGCAGCAGUUUGCUUGUUCACAAUGCAGCAAACAGACGCAGCGGUGUGCUUGCUUGUGAAGCAGUGAACAGACGAAGCUGUUUGCUAGCUUGUGAGACAGCAAACAUCCACGGUGGUUACUCAUUUUGUGAGGAAGUGAAGAGACGCACUGGUUAGUUCGUGAGGUAGCGAACAGAUGCAGCGGUUUGCUUGUUUGUGAGGCAGCGAACAGACACAGCGGUUAGUUAGUUCGCGAGGCAGUGAAGAGACGCAGCACUUUGCUGGUCCACGAGG